rnacentral:rRNA from 1 species
CGUCAAAUCAUCAUGCCCCUUAUGUCCUGGGCUACACACGUAAUACAAUGGCGUUUUACAAUGGGAAGCAAUGCCGCGAGGCGGAGCAAAUCCCCAAAAGGCGUCCCAGUUCGGAUCGCAGGCUGCAACUCGACUGCAUGAAGUCGGAAUCGCUAGUAAUUCUGGAUCAGCAUGCCAGGGUGAAUGCGUUCCCGGGCCUU